rnacentral:rRNA from 1 species
CAUUGGNUCAACCAAUGUAUGCUUUGGAAACUGUUAGACUUGAGUGCAGAAGGGGAGAGUGGAAUUCCAUGUGUAGCGGUGAAAUGCGUAGAUAUAUGGAGGAACACCGGUGGCGAAAGCGGCUCUCUGGUCUGUCACUGACGCUGAGGCUCGAAAGCGUGGGUAGCGAACAGGAUUAGAUACCCUGGUAGUCCACGCCGUAAACGCUGAGUGCUAGGUGUUAGGUCCUUUCCGGGACUUAGUGCCGACGCUAACGCAUUAAGCACUCCGUCUGGGGAGUACGACCGCAAGGUUGAAACUCAAAGGAAUUGACGGGGGCCCGCACAAGCGGUGGAGCAUGUGGUUUAAUUCGAAGCAACGCGAAGAACCUUACCAGGUCUUGACAUCCCGAUGCCCGCUCUAGAGAUAGAGUUUUUCUUCGGAACAUCGGAGACAGGUGGUGCAUGGUUGUCGUCAGCUCGUGUCGUGAGAUGUUGGGUUAAGUCCCGCAACGAGCGCAACCCUUAUUGUUAGUUGCCAUCAUUAAGUUGGGCACUCUAGCGAGACUGCCGGUAAUAAACCGGAGGAAGGUGGGGAUGACGUCAAAUCAUCAUGCCCCUUAUGACCUGGGCUACACACGUGCUACAAUGGUUGGUACAACGAGUCGCAAGCCGGUGACGGCAAGCUAAUCUCUGAAAGCCAAUCUCAGUUCGGAUUGUAGGCUGCAACUCGCCUACAUGAAGUCGGAAUCGCUAGUAAUCGCGGAUCAGCACGCCGCGGUGAAUACGUUCCCGGGCCUUGUACACACCGCCCGUCACACCACGAGAGUUUGUAACACCCAAAGUC